rnacentral:lncRNA from 12 species
CAGUUUUUCAUUAUAAAUGCCGUUAAUCACAAAAGAGAACAAAGGUAAGAGAUGGGAGAAUUACGGAAUGGGGAAGAGCCGUCUCUGUAACUAUAAACAGACCUCAAAGCACAUAACCUUCCAAGAAGCCUUUCUUAAAAGCUCAGCAUAUUGGCCCCAAAGCCAUCAUAUUUCUCAUCUGCUUGUCGAGGUUUGCUGUAGACCGUGUAAGUCCUGGGAGUUAGGAGAUAUUAAUAGGACGGCAUGGAAAGAAACGUCUGUUAUCAGUCCCGGACAUCAAACUGAAGUAUGUGGGAAGCAGGGCCCACAGACAGGUGUGCAGCUGCGAGCCAGGAAAGUUUCCUCUGAGUGAAGAGACUGUGCUCAAGUUGCAACCCCCCCCACCCCCAUAGUUAAAUUAUUUGCUCGUUUAUCCUUAUCUUCCUAUGUAAUGAUUUCCAGAACAUAUUAACGUAGGGGUCACUUCUCUCCUCCCUCAUAUCUUUGGACAGGCACCUGCAAGGGCCCCCCCACCCCGGCCGAGGCGCAGUCACUGCUCUGCUGGCAUCAGCAGCCUGCCUGGGGCUCGCCUGGUGGGGCCUGCCCCGCGGGAUGCUUCGAGCGCUCCGAGUGUGCUUAGUGUGACCCUUUGUGGCGCGGACCCUCAGACUAAAGGCCAAAGAAAACCAAGUCUCUCUUGAGAGAGCCAAGGCUCGGGAGCAUCCCUUGAAGGGCACCCCCCACCCCCAGGCUUCAUUUCCACGGGACCACCUCUUGGAAGGUGGCCCCACCCUGAGGUGCUGGGCGUUGGGAUCGCAGCAGAGGCUUGGGGGGAGGGGGGCAAGGUGGUCCGCCGGGGAGGCGGGAUGGGCGCGGGGGGGGGGGGGGUCGCCGCGGUUACCCCGAGCCCCCCCCAACAGGCUGCGGGCCGGCUUUCCAGCUGCUGGACUCCUGGGGCCUGGGACUGCCGCGGGCCCGGCCUGGGGCCCCGGGGCGGCGAAGACACGCAGCAGAGCUUGCAGAAGGCAUCAGGGAGCCUCCUCGCCCAGAGCGGAGCACGAGCUGGAACCAUCCGUGAGCAGAACCCCGAGUCCAGACACGAGGAUGGUCAUCCAGGUCUCCUAUGGGCAAGCUGGUGGCUCCUCCAGGGGAUCCAAGGAACUCUGGAAAGAUUCAGAGCUGACUCAUAUAUCCAAGACUUUUACAAAUAUAUUAUGGUAGAUGUGACAUGGAAUUAUCAAGUUGCUACCACUCAUUGAGACCAUACUAUGUACAAACAUUGUGUUAAAUGGUUUUUAUGUAAUACCUCAUUUAAUCCCAAAAUAUCCUUGGGAAUGGGCUCAUACUUAUAUAAUUCUGUCUUAUUUUAUUGGGAAAAAAAAGAAAACAAACAAACCCUGAGGCUCAGGUAAGUGAAUAAGUUACUCAGGGUCAUACUGAAGGAAUCUGCCUCCAAAGCUGUGUUCCUAAAAAGUUCUAAAAGCAUCCUUGGCCUAAGGGCAUCCCUCACCUAGCAUAGAAUCAAAAGGCCUGGCCAAGUAGGACAACUAAAUCAGCUUUAGCCCAAAUUCAAAUCCCAUCCUCAAAUUGCCCCUUGGAAUUUGUCUGGGAAGGAGAAACAAACAGCAAUUUGUCCCAUUUUUGUUGAAAUGUAAUUGAAAUAGCUCAUUGUUUUUUUUACAUCUGAGUCCCCUAGGAGCCAACAAAUUGCUAGUAGACAAUUGAAAGCAGUACUAAUGCAAAGAUUGAAGAGUUUGUGUGAUAAUAAGAUGAAAUGGUAGCUGGUAGGAGGGCUUUAGAGGGCAGUCUUGCAAUCUUAAUUGUCAAUGAUAAUGAGUUCGUAUAAGGACAUGCCUUGCUCAGAAUUUACCAUUCUCUCUUCUGAAGCUUUCAAUAACCUAUUUUACUUCCCUAGUAUUUUACCAUUUACUUAAAAAAAAAAAGAAUAUAAUUUCAGUAGGUUAAAUAUUUUAUUUAAAACAUUAAACAUUUUAUAUGUAGAAUCGCUGAUUUUUGCUAUCACUAUUCAGCAUCCUUAUGCUCCAGAUAAGAAAUGGGGAAGUGCAUGUAGCUGUAGUUCUCUUGACCAAAGUUAACUACUGAUACGAAUGCUCGAAUGCUCGAAUGCUCCGCUGCCUUCCUCUCUCCUCCGCGGUGCUCCUGCUGUGAAUUUUGGAGCAUCUUUAACGCUAAAGCAUAGUCCAGUAUCACUCCCAGGUAAAACCGUACAUUUAUCACAACACUAUCAGUUCCAAGGUCACCUUUGGGGCGUGGAAAGGCCACAGCUAUGUGUUCUCCUUGUGGAAGAGGUCAAAGCAGCUACUUUUGUGCCACCUUUCCCACAAAACAUGAAUAAAAGAGAAAAAGUUAUUAUGGUGGUUCUGCA